UUACAAGAAUGUUUAGAAACCAUGAGCUUUACAGUCAGUGUUUUCAUAUGCCAUUUCUAUAGUUGCACUAUUUUCCUUCCUCUUUUGCCUUUUUCCUGCCUUCAAAUUGGGGUCGCUGACCCCUGUUUUAAUUGUAAAGUGGCAUUUUUAAGAAGAAGGAAAGGUAUAAUUACUGGGGUGCCAAAAUAUUAGGCACCACGCAGUGAUUAUAACUGCUCACUUAAGCUCUGUGGCUGGUGCCGUUUUUAGCUAAAAACUACACCCAUUUAGGGUCCUACUGCAGGAACUCCAUGCCACCAUCUAAUUAUUUUUAAAUCUUGCACAUGCGAGAGUGAAAAGCCAAACUUAAAAUGAAAAAUCUGUUUUAUUCAGUUUACUGCACAUGUGCACCCAGCCCUGAGCAACAGAGAAGAAUGAAUUGGAAGAAGAUGCGGAAGUGCUUCUACAGAACUACAGAAUGUCAAGCCAUGAAGAAUUGUUUUUUUUUGCAAUGCAGAGUCCAAGCCAGAAAUCACAGAAAACUGAAUAAAGAAUAGUAUCAAACAGGAACAAGAAACAUAAUUUAACAGAUCAAGCCAACACAGCAGUGUU